rnacentral:rRNA from 1 species
AUUGAACGCUGGCGGCAGGCCUAACACAUGCCAGUCGAGCGGAUGAAGGGAGCUUGCUCCUGGAUUCAGCGGCGGACGGGUGAGUAAUGCCUAGGAAUCUGCCUGGUAGUGGGGGAUAACGUCCGGAAACGGGCGCUAAUACCGCAUACGUCCUGAGGGAGAAAGUGGGGGAUCUUCGGACCUCACGCUAUCAGAUGAGCCUAGGUCGGAUUAGCUAGUUGGUGGGGUAAAGGCCUACCAAGGCGACGAUCCGUAACUGGUCUGAGAGGAUGAUCAGUCACACUGGAACUGAGACACGGUCCAGACUCCUACGGGAGGCAGCAGUGGGGAAUAUUGGACAAUGGGCGAAAGCCUGAUCCAGCCAUGCCGCGUGUGUGAAGAAGGUCUUCGGAUUGUAAAGCACUUUAAGUUGGGAGGAAGGGCAGUAAGUUAAAACCUUGCUGUUUUGACGUUACCAACAGAAUAAGCACCGGCUAACUUCGUG